UGAUGUUAAAGUUGUGGUUGCCAUCUA
rnacentral:sRNA from 1 species